GCAAAGUGGUAUCAGGAUAGCACAGAGCAAAGAAGAUAAAGAAACUCAAGAGCCCAUCAGGUGUCCCGCCCCCAGGUGCGACGGCCAGGGCCACAUCACCGGGUAGUACGCGUCCCACUGUAGCGCCUCCGGGUGCCCCUUGGCAGCCAAGCGGACCUGAAUGGCUCCCAGUUCUCCUGGAAGUCGGUCAGGACGGAAGGCAUGUCCUGCUCCACGGCGGGGUGUAACGGCUAGGGCCACGUCAGCAGCAGCUUCCUCACACACCGCAGGCAGUUCCUGUCUGAAAAGCACC
rnacentral:lncRNA from 1 species